rnacentral:rRNA from 1 species
UGCUCAGAUGACGCUGGCGGCAGGCUUACACAUGCAAGUCGAGCGGGGAUAGGGUGCUUGCACUGAUUCCUAGCGGCGGACGGGUGAGUAAUGCUUAGGAAUCUGCNUAUUAGUGGGGGACAACGUUCCGAAAGGGACGCUAAUACCGCAUACGUCUACGGGAGAAAGCAGGGGAUCUUCGGACCUUGCGCUAAUAGAUGAGCUAAGUCGGAUUAGCUAGUUGGUGGGGUAAAGGCCUACCAAGGCGACGAUCUGUAGCGGGUCUGAGAGGAUGAUCCGCCACACUGGGACUGAGACACGGCCCAGACUCCUACGGGAGGCAGCAGUGGGGAAUAUUGGACAAUGGGGGGAACCCUGAUCCAGCCAUGCCGCGUGUGUGAAGAAGGCCUUUUGGUUGUAAAGCACUUUAAGCGAGGAGGAGGCUUACCUGGUUAAUACCUGGGAUAAGUGGACGUUACUCGCAGAAUAAGCACCGGCUAACUCUGUGCCAGCAGCCGCGGUAAUACAGAGGGUGCAAGCGUUAAUCGGAUUUACUGGGCGUAAAGCGCGCGUAGGUGGCUAAUUAAGUCAAAUGUGAAAUCCCCGAGCUUAACUUGGGAAUUGCAUUCGAUACUGGUUAGCUAGAGUAUGGGAGAGGAUGGUAGAAUUCCAGGUGUAGCGGUGAAAUGCGUAGAGAUCUGGAGGAAUACCGAUGGCGAAGGCAGCCAUCUGGCCUAAUACUGACACUGAGGUGCGAAAGCAUGGGGAGCAAACAGGAUUAGAUACCCUGGUAGUCCAUGCCGUAAACGAUGUCUACUAGCCGUUGGGGCCCUUGAGGCUUUAGUGGCGCAGCUAACGCGAUAAGUAGACCGCCUGGGGAGUACGGUCGCAAGACUAAAACUCAAAUGAAUUGACGGGGGCCCGCACAAGCGGUGGAGCAUGUGGUUUAAUUCGAUGCAACGCGAAGAACCUUACCUGGCCUUGACAUACAGAGAACUUUCCAGAGAUGGAUUGGUGCCUUCGGGAACUCUGAUACAGGUGCU